UACGUAGGGAGCAAGCGUUGUCCGGAAUCAUUGGGCGUAAAGCGCGCGUAGGUGGCCUCGUAAGUCCGCUGUGAAAGUCAAAGGCUCAACCUUUGAAAGCCGGUGGAUACUGUGAGGCUAGAGUACGGAAGAGGCGAGUGGAAUUCCUGGUGUAGCGGUGGAAUGCGCAGAUAUCAGGAGGAACACCAAUAGCGAAGGCAGCUCGCUGGGACGUUACUGACACUGAGGCGCGAAAGCGUGGGAGCGAACAGG
rnacentral:rRNA from 1 species